rnacentral:rRNA from 1 species
UACGUAGGGGGCAAGCGUUGUCCGGAUUUAUUGGGCGUAAAGAGCGUGUAGGCGGCCAUACAGGUCAGCUGUGAAACUCGAGGCUCAACCUCGAGACGUCGGUUGAAACCGUAUGGCUAGAGUCCGGAAGAGGAGAGUGGAAUUCCCGGUGUAGCGGUGAAAUGCGCAGAUAUCGGGAAGAACACCCGUGGCGAAGGCGGCUCUCUGGGACGGUACUGACGCUGAGACGCGGAAAGCGUGGGGAGCGAACAGG